CAGUUAACAAGCAUACAUCUCUCUUUAUAAACCUAUCUUCUCCCCUUUCCUUUUCUUACCGUUCCAAAGCUUUUGCCAAACAAACCAGAUGAACGAUAUGCUCUUCAAAAUACUUAAAAACCAGUGAAAGCUAUUGAAUGGAGAGUCUAUUUGAAUUAUUCAAAUGCUUCAGCGCGUUUCAUAUUGAUUAUGAAACAAAAGUGUGGCCUCUUCUUAUUAGUAUAGAAGAGAGAUCAAGGUAUUUGAAUUACGUCGGAUUAGUGAUUUACCAGAAUGUUUCCGUUGAAGCUACGCAUCGGUAUUUCUUUAAUCUUAAAUUUUCUUUCUCAUUAAGUGUGAAUUUCAAGUACUACCAAUCAUGUUUGACAAAAUAUAUAUACAUUGUAAUAGGGAAAUAAAUAUUUAUAUUAUUUCUGCGAAGAUCAACGAAUGCGGCGGACACGAGAAGGUAUUCUGCGUAAUUAUAUUCUCUCUUUAUUGAUUAAAAAAGUGAUUUUUUCUUUGUUUUGGAAAAUUCUUCUCUGUUUUUUUAAAACAUGAUCGCAUAAUUAUUUUCUCUGUUCUGGGAUCAGGGAACGAGAACACCAUAAUUUGCAUAAUUAUUAACAUAUUUUUAUUGUUUUGCCUUUGCCAAAUGCAUUCGAUUGCAGGUACUAUACGACGAGAAACGGGACUGUCCUUCGUUCUUGUGGAAUCAGCUCGAUUCAUUUUCAUACUAGGGAUCAAAUCUUUGAUUCGCCACUGCUGGAAUGGCUUGAACGGAUGAACUUUGUCACACAGUGUGCAUUCAAGCUGCAGCAUAUAUAUCUUCUCCUGGGGGCUUGUGUCACCAAGGACUUGGGUAAUCUGACGGCGCUUGGAAACAUCAAUGUGUUAUAAUUGAUUAAUUCCGUCAUCAAAUUAUUCUCAAUGUGGGUAAAUCCAUACUUGUUGAUCCACAUUGGGACAAGUUCAGGGACCGCUGGAAUUACAAGGUUUUCCACAUUGAGCUUGCGAAGAGCCUGAAAAUUAGAUUCGCAUAUCCGCACUGGCCGUUGCACUGGCGGUUUGAAUUACAAGAUUUUCAACAUUAAGCUUACCAGGAGCCUGAAAGUCGAUCAGAUUCGCAUUAGAACUUGUUCCAGGCAGACAUAUAUUGAAAUGAAAAAUAUGAUACAUACAGCUGAUUAUUAGUAGCUUCAGCACCAGCACUUGUAGAUUCGAUUUGGGCGAAUAGUUUCGGCGUCAUUGUUCCUUUGUAAACCCAUGGACCCUGUAAAAUUGAAGUGAUGAAUACUCCCAAGUUAAAUGAAAACUGGUUGUUGUAAAAUAUAUAUGUACUUGAUUGAUUAUAGGAGAACACACAUAAUGAAGUGAUGAAUACUCCCAAGUUUUUGUUAAACUGAACCGAUUAGUUCACAAAAACUAAAAUAAAAAUAAUUUCAUAAAAAAAUAAUCUAAAUAAAUCAGCUCGAUUCCACUUUACUUCCCCAGAUUAUUGUAUUCAAUUGAAAUAUUUGUUGAAAAGUAUAUUUAGAUUAUCACUGUAGUAUUGCGUGUGUUUAUCAAUUAUAUUUUCAUGAAUAUGUUUUAAAAAUAAUCUAACCAUUAAAACAUAGUUAAGCUGGCAGAUUGAAUUAACCAUAAUUUUUAUCUUUAUUUUAUCUUAUACGUUUACAUUAUUGGUUUCCUAUAUUUCAUUAUUAAUGUUUCUCAAAGCGAAAAUCAUAUUUAAAUUAUAAUAAUUUAAUAUAAAUUAUUAGUUUAGCGAAAUUGGGCUUGGGGAUUAAAAGGAAAAAAUUGGGAGAUCGAAUGACAAAGUUAAUCUCUUAACCAAUAACAAUAACCGUUCAUGCAAUCUUUGAGAAAAUAUAAAAUUAAUUGCUAUUUUAAUUAAUGUUUUCAUAAAAUAAAUAAUUAAUGAACAUUAGCAAUUUUUAUAUACACACAUACUUACAUAGAAACUAAAUGAGGGGCCUGUGGAACGCAUCCAAAGGUCAUAAUUUGCUGCACAUAGCGGACAGCAGCAUGUGUAGCAAAUAAAUGAAUAAAUAAAAUAAGGUAAAGGUCAAUCUAACGCCCUAAUCCAAUUCCAGAGCUUAGUUAUAGUUCAGAAUCCUGGACUGAAAAUUCACUACAUGUAUUAUUUCAAACAGUGAUUGAAAGGAAACGGUGAUUCAUAUUAUCUAGGAUAUUUAAAAGGAGGCCAUCACUUUAAAAUUUGAACAUGCAAGGGAUAUUAUUCGGCUUUUCAAGUACCGAUCUCCAAGAAUCACUGGCCAUUAACCUCUAGGAAGGCCAAAAAAGCUUAGAAUUUGUAGAUCUUGAAUUCUUCUCAUUCUCAAGCAAUCGACAUAAAAAAUUGUAAUUAAUAGUGAAAAAAAAUGGUUGUUAUGUAAUCAAAGGUAAACAUUAAGAAAUAAUUUGGUAGCAAUGGAGGUUCCUAAUAAGAUUUAGUGGUCAAAGAAAAUUUUGUUUAGAUUGCACAUGGCCAAGGGUGGAAAAUGAGAAUAAGUAAGAAGGAGUAAGAAAAUAAGAACGAGAAAGUACAAUUAGUAGACGGGUAAGAAGAAUAUAUAGAGGCGGUGGAUAUGAAAUAUUGAAAGCGCAAGACAUGAGGCAAAUAGCGUGAAAAUCGCAAGCGAAAGAAGAAUAUUGUUUUUGGAUUUCUUCCCCCAAAAACCAUUCGUUUUCCACUACGCACAACAUUUGAAAAUGUAAUUGCGUUAAAAAAAAUGUAUAAUAAGAAUUUAUAAAUUUAUUUUGUACAAAUUAAUAUGAUGUACCUAUAUCGGUUAAAGUAAAUCUUGUGGAACAUAAACAAUAUUGUCAUGCCUAGUGACAUAACUAGACUUUAAACCCAACAAGGGUAAAUGUAAUUUACAUAAAGAAUUUGAUUUUCCUCAAGUGUUAUUAGAUAAUUUUAGAAUUAAUAUACUCAUUUAAGAUGAUUUUGAUGACGAAAUUAUAAUUUUGAGCCCUUUUUUUUGUAUAUUAUUCAAGUUGGUAGGGAGAUAAAAUUUUUAGUUGAAAUAAAAAAUAAAAUUUUUAUGAAAAAAUUAAUUCGGCCACUAUUUAUGGCACGAUAAUUCGUAUAAAAUAAAUUUAAAUAAGAAUUUAUAAUUUAGUCGCUGCCAUUAAUAUGUAACCUCAUGAUGGACUUGAACUUGUUUGUUAGUUUAUACUCUAUUAUCUUCAUUAUAGCUAUAGGUCUAUAUUAUAUGAAUUUCAUUACUGAGUUUUAUCUAAAAACUCGAAACGACAUUUAUGAACAUGAUUUUAAGAAGUCACGCUCUAGUUUUCGUAAGUAGCUCGGUUCAUUAAUUUGUAACAGUAACUAAUAAGGCCCUCUUGACAUAUUAAAAAAACUGAUUGGCUAUUAUCUUAUAAUGGUAGCUAGGUUACAGGCAUUUGGUCAAAUGUUAGAAACAAUGCAAUUUUAAAAAGCCAACGGGAUUCCAACACCCCCCAGCCCAAAAAAAUCCCCCAAAAAAAAAAGCCGAUGGUAAAAAGUCAUCAUCAAUUUUAUGUUUUGAACUCCUUAAUCUGUAAUGAAUUUUAAUUUUCCAUCUGUCUUGCGUAAUUAAUUUAAUUAUUACACACAUUAAGAUCAAGGUAACAUUUAUUUUAUGUGUAGUAAAUGACUUUUCAAUGUUUUGUUCUUUGUGUUCUUCACUCAAAAUUGUUCAAAACAGUAAUAGUAAUGGACAUAAAAUUACUGAUACGGCAAUUGCUUACUAAUCUGAUUUAAAUUCUUGUGUGCAGUACUACAAUUAUAGAGUGAAGAUGAUAAAUUUUUAUCAUAAUAGAUGUAGUCAACAAUGUGACAGUAUAACAAAGUACUGUUAAUCAAUACCAAUUUUCUUUGUUAUUUAUCAUGACAUUUCUCAAUGUGUACUAUGAGUUUAUAUCCCAAUUUUAUAAGUGUAUAAUUUUUUAGUUCUUAAAAAUAGACAUUUAAUUAAUAAGACACCCUGGUUUGAUUCAUAUACGCAUAUUCUGAUACUUACCAAAAAAAAAAAUCUGUAUGUCUAAUUUUUAGUCCUAACAUUGAUUGGCUAGUUGUUUCUGACAUUUUUGCCUAUAUAUAAAAUUCUCCUUAUAAGGAAAGAAAUCUAAUAAUAUUAUUAUCUUUAUCCUUAUUUAGUUAUGGCAUAAAAGAGUUUAAUCGUGGUAGUAUUGUUCUUAUGCGUCUACUCUUUUGCAUAGUUGUCUUUGUUAUUAUUUUGGUAAUCUAUUAAAAGAAUCUAAUUGAAUACUAUUUAUUUACCUUAGGAUUCUCUGGCUAUUAAUUUUCUCUUAUUUGUUUGCUUUCUCUCUCUCUCUCUCUCUCUCUCUCUUUUCAAAAUUCCAUAUUUAGAUCUUUCAUUAAAGAAUAAAUAGUAUAAACAAUGAAAUACUAGAAAGUGUGAUGAUAGAGUUACAAAUGCUUGUAAAAGUUUAUUUUAUACAAAUUGAUGUGGUAUAAAUUUGUUGGUUUGAUGAAAAUACAAAAUAAUGAAAAUAAAUUUGAUAUGUACGAUGUCAAUUAUACCUUCUGUACUCAUUAAAAAUUAUUUUUUUAUAUUAAAAGGUUAUGUUUUUCGAAGAAUAUUUAUUAUAUAUAUUGGUCAGUUGCUUCUAUUUUGUUAUAACAACGAUAUGUUAGAUUUAUAUUAGUUUAUUGCAUAUAGUUUAGAUCAAUUUGGUUGUUACAAAUAUAUUAAAAAGAAAUUUUUAUCAAACUGGUUAGAACCAUUAUAUAUGUUGACUUUGUGAUUCUUAAGAUAUGAAAACAUGAGGAUUAUACAAAUGAUAAAAGUCUACAAUGAUUCCAAUUAAGGAAACACAUAAUAGAUUUAUUCCUGUCCACAAUCCAAAACAAAUCUUAUUAUUAUUAUUUUUUCACUUGACAAAUAUUUUGUAUAUUCUUUAUUAUGUCUCCUUUUUUUUUUUUUGCUGAUUUUCAUUUCUUCUUUAAGUUGGUGAUUCCUGGAGCUGCUGCAUAUUCGUGAUUUGCGAGAUGAUGUUUAAUUCAGAGAUUUCCUCGUUUGGGAAUGUUACAGCUCUUGUGUAGCAUUUUGACUUUACCGAAUAAGAGACACUUCGUGAUCGUAUUGAUUUCUUGAUGUUUUUAACAUGCAUGGGACAGCUACAUUAUUAGCUUAUCUUAAGAUCCUUUUCAUUGACAAGUUCAUUGGAAAUGCUUCCCAUUUCACCCCAAAUUCUAAUUAUUCGCCUAAAAUAAGAAGAAGAAAGCUUGAUAGUGAAUCUUAUCAUUAAUCAAAUCAAGGAAAAAAAUACCUAUAACACAAUGAAGAGCACUACUUAGCUACUCAGUGAUCCAUUUAACUGCAGAAGCCAGUUUCUUAAAUUUUACUUAAUGGUAUAGUCCAAAUGAGUAAAGAAACAAAGCUAAUUAAUUGUGUUGUAUAUAAGAGGACAAACAUGACUAACAAAUGUGUUGCUUAUGAACAUCAAGUUUAUGGUUUGUUAUUUUAAAUAUAAGAUUAUAUUUAAAGAGAUUCCAUUUGUCGGAACCCGUGAAUAGCUCGGAAGCGGAGACUACAAAGGAAUAAUGAAUAUAAGAGAACAUACGGAUCUUUAGAAACUUGAUAAAGCUUAUUUAUUUUUAAAAUGUUGUUUGCUGGGACUAACAUCAACAAAAGUUUGUGUAUUCUUCUUUCUUACGUCAAAAAAAAAUAAAAAAUUGGAGUUGGAUUGUGGACCAGAUGUUAGUAUGUGAUGUAAUGAUUUAUUUCCUUUGAUAGGCUUUACAAGUCGGCUAGUGUUGACACCAGGCUUCAACAGAACCACGUAAAAUGUGUUGGCUCUACAAGUAAGUUAGAAAGUCAUUCAGUAGGUUAUUUUUAAGCUUGGCUUAAAAAUAAUCCAAUUGUUAAAAUUCUCAAAAUUGCUUAUAAUAAUUUUUUUUUAAUUUUUUUUUCAAUUAUAGAAAAAAAACUUUAUCAUUACAGACGGCCUCUGUUGGAAAAUGCUAUUUAAAAACAAGAAAACAUAUUUUUAUAACAUAUUAUGAAAAUAUAAAAUAAAAAAGAAAAUUACAAAAGUUAAAUCAAAUCAACGAUUAUUUUCGUCACUAUAAAGUUUUUUUUGUUGUUGUUGUAAUAACUAUCCCCUUAGAUAUUUAAUAAAUAGCAGCAACUUUAACCAGCUUCCUGUGGUUAACUUUAUUUGAUAAUAAGUGAAAAACUACGCAAAAUAUUAGCUAGACAAUAUCUAAGUGAAGAGGAAGUCUAAUCACAGUGAGUAAAGAUCAAGAGGAAGUCGGGGCUUAGGAACAACAAGAAGUGGAUUUUUUCUGGACGUUCUGCCACCAAAUCUUUCUUCCAUAUCUAAAUCUUCUUUCUUCAUAUCACCAGGCAAUUUCCAUUCAAAACCAUGCAAAAGAUUUGCCAAAGUUGACUGAACUAUUUUUAGCCCUAGUGCAUAACCAACGCACAUCCGCCUCCCAGAUCCAAAUGGCAAAAGCUCAAAAUUAUGGCCUACAACAUCAAUCUCUUUGCCGACGAAUCUCUCCGGACAAAACUCAUUAGGUUUCUCCCAGAGGGUUGGAUCUCUUCCGAUUGCCCAUACAUUAACAAUUACACGAGAGUUUUUGAGAAUGUUAGAGCCAGCUACUUUGCAAUUUUCUCUAGCUUUGUGAGGAGCAAGCAAUGUUAGCGGAGGGUGGAGACGCAUGACUUCUUUAACAAUUGCUUGUAUGUAUGGAAGGUUAACAAUGUCUUUUUCUUCUACCCAUUUGUUUCUUCCAAUUACUCUAUCUAGCUCAUCGGUUGCCUUUUGGAUAACUUCUGGAUUUUUUAAGAGCUCUGACAUUGUCCACUCUAAGGUGACCGCUGAGGUUUCAAUUCCACCAACUAAAAGAUCCUGAAAAUCAUCAAAAUAAUAAAAAGAAUAAUAUGAUUCAGAUUUUUAGUGCAAAAGACACUUGGAUAGUUUUAUUCAUGAUGUUUGCUUUUGUAGGACAAUGAACUAUUACUAAAAAGUUAAAAUCAUUAUAAACAAAAUUUCUUUUCAUUUCAAUGUGUGUGUGUGUGAUAUUAGUAUUCGUAUUAGUACAGUAUGCUCAAAAAUUACUAUUUGGAUUUUUAUAUUUAUACUUUUUUCUUCAGAAAACAAAAUAUUUCAUGAAUGAAAAUCAUAUUCAUUUUCUUUAUCUAUGUGCGUGUGGGUAGGGUUCUUUUCUGAAACAAAUAUGAAAUUAAGUAUAUUUGCACAUACAAUUUAAUUACCUGCAUUGAUGCCUUAAUGUGAUCUCUUUCAAGCUUGACUUCGAGAGUAGGAUCAUCAGCAAGCUGCAACAAAACAUCGACAAUAUCAUUGGUCCCAUGUUCCUUAAACAAUUUCCUCUUACCAUGGCGCUCGUGCUCAUGCAAAACAUGCUCGUAAAAUUUAUCAAUCUUCUUCUUCACAGCCUUCAUUCUCUUAAUAUUCCCUUGUAAAUCUAAGAAAGCAAGCCAUGGAAUUGCAUCUCCUAUAUCUAAAACACCAGGAAGCAAGAAUAGUUCAUCUACGAUCUCUGUGAACUGUUUUGGAGUUACAAUAUUGUUUUCAUCUUCCUCAGUAUACCUUUUCCCGAACAGCAUCCGGCUCAUAAUGGCAAGAUUAAACAUGAAAAGACGCUCUUUCAAAUGAACAGGAGUGGAAGAAGAAGAAGAAGACGAUGUUGAUGAUUUGUACAAUUUAAAUAAUAAUGCUUUUCUUUCCUCUAUCCUGAUGUACUCAAAUUGUGCUAAACUCUUUGGGCUAAGAAGUUGCGUCAUGUAAAUUUUACGAGUUUGGCGCCAAUGUGGACCAUAUGGUGCACCAGGCAUAACCAGAUAAUUGUAGUUUGCGUGUUUCCAUGCAAGAAGUGGUGGUCUACUAGCAAAAGUAACAUCAUGAGUUUUUAGUAAAAGUUCUGCUACUUCAGCUGAUGAGCCUACCACCACGGUUUCUAAACCGAAUUUGAGUUGCAUAAGGGGGCCAUAUUUUUGGGAGAGAGAUUGGAGGGAGACAUGAAGGUGUUGGCCGAUGAGGUUGAGGUUUCCGAUGAGGUGCCAUGGCUUUGGACCCGGUGGCGGCAACAAGUUAAUCUUAUUGCGAGAAAUAUGGCGGUAAUAUAACAAGAGGAGGACAGGCAGGAAAAAGGCAAGGAUUGAGUACCACAUAGUCGAGUUUGAAGGGUUAUCAGCUGUAGCACUACUAGCAGGAUCCUCCAUAUUUAAUAUAUUAAAUAAAAUCAAAAUCAGCAGUGCUAGAUUCAAAUUCUUAUUAUAUGUAUAAGGAUUGAUGAUGAUUUGAAUUAUGUUUAUGAAAUGGAAGUGAGAGAGGUAUUUAUAUCUAACGAUAGAACAACAGCCAUGAGCCAACCAACUAGAGAAAAUUACAAUUGAAUAAUUGAAUAAUUGAAUUUUAUAUUGAUUUGAUUUGAAAUUGACAGGUUAUCUUGCGGAAAAUUGUCCGGUUACUUCUUGUUGAUUAUAACAUUAUUGAUGCCAAGAUUACUUAAAACAAUCCACGGAACGUAUAGAGUGUUGAAAAGUCAAGCAUACAAUUGUUGAGUAAUUGCAUGAGAUAGUUAGCAUGCGAUUGUUGAGAGACAGCUAUCAUCCAAAUUUUGACUACAAUUGCAUGAGAAAGUUGGCAUCGAUUGCGAAGUUUGUCAAUUUAGUAAAUUGAAGACAAAUUGAAAUAGUGUGGUAGGUGAGCAAUGCUCUCUGUAAAUAGAAGGACCAUUCUUCAUUUGUUGCAUCCCAACUGUGAGAAUUGAGAGCAUAGUAAGUGAAGCAAUUUGAGAGAUUUGAGAGAGUUUCUACUUGAGUGUUCUAGUGAGAAUUCAAUUAGGUGUAUUAGGAUUGUGGGUUUUGAGAGUUUUUCCCACUUUUGUAAAUUUCCAUUUGUUAGUAAAAUCAUCUUCCAGUCUUUAUCUGUCGACGUAGGCUUUACGUCGAACCACGUAAAUUAUUGUGUUAUAUUUUUUUUGCAUUUAUUUGUCACAUUUAUAUUUCUCCAGAAGUUGCAGUCACCAUAAUAUUAGUAAUUGCUCAACCUGCGCUUUUGCAACAUAAAGAAGGUAAUAAACAAUUUUUUUAGUAUUGAUAAUGAAGUAUUCUGCAUCAUUUUCAAAAUACGACAACAAUUCAAAAGCAAUAGCAUUGAUAUUGAUUGAUAUUACAAGGGAUGAUAAUAGAGAGAAGGGGAAGAGAUCCACCUCCUCAACUAUUUCUCCUUAAUAAUUAUUUGUCAAGAAAGGUGGCUAAAUGGCUGCCAAAUUCUAGAAAUAGAAAUCUUUGAAAGCCAACCAAUCUAGAAGUUAUAAAUGUUGAAUUAGACAUAUGGUGGUGUUGCAGUAAACUUUGAAAAGAAAAAAAAAAUUAUUUCAAUAGCCAAUUUUGGCUAUAAAAGAGGGAGUUCCCUAUCGGCUUUGUGCAUUCAUUUAUGAGAAGUAAUUCCAUUUAGAGAGCAGAGAAUUUUGAGAACUUAAAUUAGAAAACUCUUGAAGUUUAGUGAUUUGAGAUAUUGGGUGUAUUGGGUUAUGGGUAAUGAGCAAAAAAUAUUACAAUACUUAUAAUUCUCAUUUCACUAGUAAAAUUUUAUCUUUCUAUUUUCGCCCAUGGAUGUAGGCUAAAAAUCCAAACCACAUAAAUUUCUGUGUCCUUUUUGUGUGCCUAUUCUUUAUUUUUCUUCUAAUUUUAAUUUAGUUGUAGUCCUGCUUCACCCAUCAAAUUUUUGAUAGUAGUAUCAAAGCUACUGGUUGUAUUUUAUGGAGUCAGGGGGUAUUAUUCACGUAUACGGUACUGUUCACGUGAAAUAAUGAGAAUCGAUCUUAGUAAAAGCAGUUCAUAGUGAAAGCAAUGGCGGCAAAAUAAGAAAUUGAGAAGUUCAACAGAAACAACUUCUUGUUAUGGAAAAUGAAAAUUGAAGGCUAUUUUGAGGAAAAACAAUUGCUUGACAGCAAUUAGAGAAAGACUUGGAGAAAUCACUGAUGACAAGCGGAAUACGAUGGACGACAAUGCAAUUUCUGAUCUACACUUGGCACUUGCAGAUGAAGUGUUAUCUAGUGUGGUAGAAGAAAAGACAUUAAAUGAAAUAUGAGAUACUUUCAUGAAACUGUACGAGGCCAGAUCGCUAUACAACAAGAUUUUUUUAAAGAGGAGACUUUAUACUAUUCGAAUGGUGGACACCACAUCGGUGACCGACCAUAUCAACACUCUGAAGACUUUAUUUUCGUAACUCACAACGUUGAGUCAUAAAAUAGAGGAAAAUGAACGUGCGUAGCUUUUACUUCAAAGUCUACUAGAUUCGUAUGAUCAACUUAUCAUUAAUCUGACGAACAAUAACCAAGCAGACAGUCUAGUCUUUAACGAUGUUGCAGUCGCUGUAUUAAAUGAAGAAAUAGGCAGAAAAGUAAAUGUUGUGCCAAAGACUAGUAAAUAACUGAUAACGGCACACCAAGAUCCACUCAAAGAAGGGUUCUUGUAUCUAAAACUAAGGUGAUCUUUACGCAGUUACAGGAUGCUUAAACAAUCCAACAACCAAAGCAAAUCAAUGAAAGAAUUUAAGAACAGAAAGAAUGACACAAAGAAAGCUUAUAGUGGUUCGGCUAUGGAAGCAAAUCAAUCAACAGCUUCCCGCCCUAAUUAACGGCUUAACAGACUUCUGAUAAGCCUCCAAGACACGUGUCUUCAUCUUGUUUCUUCUAAGUGAUAAAACGACAGUUCAAGCAAUCGUUUCUUUUAAGUGAAUCACAUGCGAAGUCACAUGUCUUCCUUGCACACACAGAUGACAUGAUAUUCUUGUCAUAUAGCCUUCUCAGGACUUUCAACUGACAUGUUAUAGUAUUGACAAAUCUUCAACCGACUUGUCGCACUUGACUAUAAACUAAUUUGUAGUUCAUAUUCAAUAGUAAAUAAGACAGAUAUGCGAGUUCGUAGCAAGCAGAGGUGCUAUCGAUGAGGAAAGGAAGAUCAACGAAACGUGGCCCUAGUGGGAGUCACAAUCAUGGUAGAUUAAAAUCAAGAAGUAAGAAGAAUGUCAAAUGCUACAAUUAUGGCAAGAAAGGGCAUAUAAAGAAAGAGUGUUGGAGUAACUAGAAAAGAAAAAAAAAAGGGUAAAGAUCCUAAGUCAUCAAAUGCUUAGGGGUGUGUAACAAGUAUCUCAAAUGAUGACAAAAUUCUCUAUAGCGAGGAAACAACUGUUACAGAAGGUUGGAAGCAGUUAGUUGAUAUCUAGUUUAUAAACUCAGAAGCAACAUGGCACAUGACUUCUUAGAGAGAAUAGUUCCAUAAAUAUGAACAUAUCUUAAGAGGAUCAGUGUACAUGGGUGAUAAUCAUGCCUUGAAAAUCACUAGUAUUAAUACCGUCAAAAUAAAAAUGUUUGAUGGUACAGUUCGCACAAUUAAUAAGGUACGACAUGUCAAGGGUUUAAAGAAAAAUCUCGUCUUUGGAACAAAUAGAUAGUCUUAGGUGCAAAACGUAUGUUAAAAAUGUGAUCAUGAAAAUUGCUAGAUGUGCGCCUAUAUUAAUGAAGGUGGAAAAGAUUAGUGUUAUAUUCCUUACAGUUACUGAUGAAACUCCAAUAGAACUUUGGUACUUCUCAAAUCUACUAACUGGUUUCUAUUGAGAGUUUUCAGAGAAUAGUGUAUUCUGGUUUAUAAACAUGUUUAUAAACAUGUGGCUCAUUACCUUUAGUGCUCAUAAGUAGAUAACAGUAUUUUGAAGAUGUUUAUGUUGGGAUCUUGGUUGUCUUUAAAAUUAGGAAGGAUGAUUUUCUUAAUGGUCUAUGUGUUGAAUAUGUUCAUAUGACUUUUUUAGUUGGGUUUUUAUUGAUAGACAUUUUUUAUUUGCUUCAGCAUGUGGAGUUACUUAUUACUGUAUAAUUCUACUUUGCAUCUUUGAUGAAUAGGAUGUUUCAGAGCUUUUUGAUAUUGUCUAGAGACUAAUUUAUGCUUAUACUGCAUUUCUUUUUCUUAUAAUAUCUUAUACCUUAAUCCAUAUAGUCUUUCUUUCCUCUCAACUCUUACCCAAUAAUUGAAUCAUUCUUUUUUGCACUUGAAGCCUAUGGCGAUAGAACAAGUAACGUCCAAUGAAGAUAGUGAGGAUGAAGUUGAUGAUGACAUUGCAGAUUUUGAAGAUCGGCGGGUAUGCGUGUAGAUUUGGUUGCUAUGUUUUGGUUCUUUCCUACGAUAAGAUUAUUGUUAGGCUAACAAAAAUUGCUUUCUUUUUGCCUUCCAAGUUAUGUGAAAUUAAUUUAAAUAUUUGAAGUAAUAUUUUGUAUUCUGUCAAGAAGGGUUUACUCCCCAACUCCUUUGCAUUCUUCUACAUUGAGAAAGCAAUGCGUUCUGAGGAAAGGACAUAGAGUAGGGCAUUAUAUUCUCUUAACUGCAGAGGCAUGGGGAUCAAUCUUUGAAGGAUCACUGUAAGAGUGUGUAAUGAGAGCAUGAAGAGUUCAAGUCAUUAUAACGAGUUUCUUAUGCUUAAUCUCACUAUGACAAGUAUUUACUGGCUUUGAGGAAAUUGGAUUGAAUUAGAAGAUAAGAACACCAUAUAGGUGGCUGUCUCUUCUUCUUACCUGUCAAACAAUAAUUUGGUCCUGUUUACUUCUGGCUUAUUGUUAUUUCUUGUAUGCUUUAUCAAGUUUCUAAAUAUUUAUCCCUUAUAUUUUGCCAUCAUAGAAUUAAUUCAACUAUGACUGUUUCAUGGUUGCUUUUGGCUUAGUUCUGUGGAACAGUAAGUGUAACCGGUUUCAGCUUCACCUCCUCAACACAUCCGUUUCCCCUUCCUUGUGUGCUCUCUGUCCCAGAUCUUGAACUGUUGAUUUUGAGGUUUUGUCUCAAAUAAAAUCAAAGAACCAGAAGAGUGAUUACAAUUUAUGCAAAUAUUAUAUCCAGAUUUCUGAUGCCUAACAAAGCUUAAGUUGGACUCUUAUAUGAAAUGUUUUCAUUUUAUGCUGUUAGGAACCUGGAAACAUUAUAUUAAAUUGGCAUGUUGCAGAUGCUUGAUGAUUUUGUGGAUGUUAGCAAAGAUGAGAAGCAGCUGAUGCAUCUUUGGAACUCCUUUGUCAGAAAGCAACGGUAGUUAUUGUUUCCCACUUAAAGCUUUCAAUUUUAUUUUUUUUGGGUCGCCCCAGUUCCAUAUAUUCUUUGUUUGUUUCCUUCAAUUCUUUUAUGUCAAGAUGUUUAGGAAAUUAAUGUAUAGGAGGUGAACUAUCUUAUGCAUUUUUCAUGCGAAAAAGAAAGGAAAAAAGAAAUAUCUUAGAAGGGUAUAUCCCACUGUGACAGGGUCCUGGCUGAUGGUCAUGUUCCUUGGGCAUGUGAAGCAUUUUCCAAACGUCAUGGACGGGAGCUUGUCCUCUCUCCAGCUCUAUUUUGGUGUUGGAGGCUGUUCAUGAUAAAACUGUGGAAUCAUGGCCUUCUUGAUGGCUGCACAAUGAAUAAUUGUAAUAUGAUUCUUGAAAAAUGUCGAGAUGAGGAAUCAGAUACUGGGAAAAGCUGAAGAGGACAGACUAACAAUCUCGGCUCGUGGGAGUGCAGAAAUAAGACAGUGCCUGUAACAUUGGUUCUUCUGUUACUCAAUUCUUCCUGAUAUCCUUUAACACAUUUUUUCAACACAUUUUUUCUACUUGUAUCAGUAGAUUGUAGAUGGAGUAAUUAAUUCUUUCGCAUACAAAGAAGUCAGCUGUAGUGAAUCGGCCAACUUGUCACUGUUGUUAGCUCAUUAUUCACUAUUAAGUGUUAUUGACACGAUAAUCGCCAUUUAUGAUUUACUCUUACGGAGGCAACUUAGGCGCCAAUCUAGUUGCUAAGAGUCAAUUGUAAAUGUUGGAGAGGGUCGCUGCUGUAGAUUGAUAUGUUAUAUAGCUCGAUAUGUUUAAGUGAAACUUGAUUUGAUCUUAUUCUGAGUACUGAUUGGGAAGUUGUCUCUGUAUCUAUUAAAAUAUUGAAGAGCAAAGUCGCGCAAGCUUUCAAUGAGAAGGAUGCGGCAGUGCUUAGACAUUGCUUGUGUUCAGUUCUGCGAAAGAAACUCAGGUAUGGCAAAAGAUGUCUUAAUGGUUUUAUAAACUAAGGCAACUAUGCUAAUAACCAACUAUGCCAUACUCACACUAAUAACCAACUAUGCUACAGCAUUCCAAUGGAGACCUCAGAUGCACAAGCUCAAGAUUCAUUUGCCUCUGCGAUCCGUAAAGCUGUGCACAAAGGGCAAAGAAAUAUGAAAGAAGAAAACUUCUUCUGGAUCUCUAGAAAACCUAAUCGCAAAUCUUUAUCCACUAAUAACGCAAAUAAAAUUGUUAGCUAUUGACUACAAGAGGAUGAUUUGUUGUUAAAGUGAAAAUUGAUGUCGAGUAAAGGAAAAAUUCCCGAAUAUUUCCUGUGUGGAUACCCUCUCUCUUGAUUAAAUGAGAGCAGCACAUUCUGCUUUCUAGUCCUCAUCUUAAUUAUAAAAUAUUUUCUUCUUCAAUUUAAAGAAGCCACAAGCACCAGGCACUAGCGGAUUCAAUUUUUGCCAAAUUUUCUUUGGUACGAAAAGGAGCUGAAACAGAGCAUUGACCUUGGUUAACAUAGAAACCCAAAUUAAAUAAAUGCAUAAGAUAGUAUACAAAUACUAAUAAUAAAGAAUCAAAUCAUGCUAUCGUAAGUCAUAACCAAUUCUUAUUAUUUUUGACACGUUAAUUUUCCAUGUUUAUCACCUGGACGUUUCCCCCCCUUAUUUACUCAGAUUUACAGUGUUCAGCCGUAAAAAAUCUGGAAUCUUGAAGCAUAACAAGUAACGGACAACUAGCUUAUCAUUUACAGUCAUUUAAUUAGUAACAAUAAAAUUGCAUAAUUCUGCCCUUGUGUAUGUGCUUAAAGGAUUGUUCGCACCCCUAUGGUGUAUUAAUGGGCUUAAUAAAAUUAGUAGUCCGUUAUAUUUGUACAAAGAAGAUAUGGUACCCAUUUUAAAAGAUUAUUUAAGAUACCCCUAAGAAUUUCGUCUUUUUAAAUUCUUGACAUGCAUACCUUUAUUUUUUUUUUUUUUUAAGUUUCAAACGCUGCUCAGGCGCUCAUCAAGAAUCAAUGGUCGUCUUAGAUCUAAAAUAUUGAAAAAAUAUCAUGAGUAGCAUGGGAUUGAAUAUUCUUACGUAGGGUAAAAGUUUAAAAAAUCCUCCAUCGUUGAAAUAUUGACAUUCUUAUUGUUAUUUUUUUUUUGAUUUAUUUUUAUAAUAUUAUUAUUUUUAAAUAAUAUUUCUUUUUAAGACAUUAUUAAAAAAAAAUAGAUUAUCGAUUUAUCCCCAAAAUAAAACAAAAACAAAAAGAAUAUAUGUUAAUUUUUGUGAUUAAUAUAUAGAGAAAAGCCUGUUAGAUGAUGUCCCUUUCAAGCUUGGGAUUUCUAUUCACAAAAAAAAAAAAAAGUUUGGGGUUUCUAUAUUUUGGCCCUUGCCGCACCACUUCCUGAAUGGCGUAUGACGAACUUGUUCUUUCUUACAUCAUUUCCAUUCAAGCAUCGUCAUCUUCUUUAGGGGGUUCAAGGUUCAAGUCAAAAAAUGCAAGCUUUUCGUAGCCUUUUCCUCGAACCAGCCCAGUACCAUUCUUAUUUGCCUCAUCAGUCUUCGUAGCUGUACAUAAAAGAGCAAAGAAAUUGAAAGAAGUGUGUCAAAUACAGAUGAUGAAACAGUGCCGGAGCUUGAAAAUUUAUGAAAAUAGAGAAAGACCUGCGCUAGCUGCGGCGUGUGUUACCAAGGACUUGUGUAAUCUGACGGCGGCUGGAAACAUCAAUGUGUUAUACUUGAUUAAUUCCCUCAUCAAAUUACUCUCAAUGUGGGUAAAUCCAUACUUGUUGAUCCACAUUGGGACAAGUUCAGGGACCGAUGGAAUUACAAGGUUUUCCACAUUGAGCAUACGAAGAGCCUGAAAAUUAGAUUCGCAUGAGAGGUUGUUCCAAGCUUUAGAAGGUCAAAAGCCAAUAUCAAACAGACUAAGCAGAAGGUUAUUCAGCCCAAUGAAAUGAACAAUAUGACACAGUGCCAGCUGGGUAGUAGCUUAAGGCAUCAGCACUUACCAAUUCUUAUUAUUUUUGAUACGUUAAUUUUCCAUGUUUAUCACCUGGACUUUUCCCCCCCUUAUUUACUCAGAUUUACAGUGUUCAGCCGUAAAAAAUCUGGAAUCUUGAAGCAUAACAAGUAACGGACAACUAGCUUAUCAUUUACAGUCAUUUAAUUAGUAACAAUAAAAUUGCAUAAUUCUGCCCUUGUGUAUGUGCUUAAUGGAUUGUUCGCAGCCCUACGGUGUAUUAAUGGGCUUAAAAAAAUUAGUAGUCCGUUAUAUUUUUUUUUUUUUUUUUAAGUUUCAUACGCUACUUAGGCGCUCAUCAAGAAUCAAUGGUCGUCUUAGAUCUAAAAUAUUGAAAAAAUAUCAUGAAUAGCAUGCGAUUGAAUAUUCUUACAUCGGCAAUCAACGGGUAAAAGUUUAAAAAAUCCUCAUUGUUGAAAUAUUGACAUUCUUAUUGUUAUUUUUUUUUAAUAAUAUUAUCUUCUUAAAAUAAUAUUUCUUUUUUAAGACAUUAUUAAAAAAAAUAGAUUAUCAAUUUAUCUCCAAAAUAAAACAAAAACAAAAAGAAUAUAUGUUAAUUUUUGUGAUUAAUAUGUAGAGAAAAGCCUGUUAGAUGAUGUCCCUUUCAAGUUUGGGAUUUCUAUUCACAAAAAAAAAAAAAAGUUUGGGGUUUCUAUAUUUUGGCCCUUGCCGCACCACUUCCUGAAUGGCGUAUGACGAACUUGUUCUUUCUUACAUCAUUUCCAUUCAAGCAUCGUCAUCUUCUUUAGGGGGUUCAAGGUUCAAGUCAAAAAAUGCAAGCUUUUCGUAGCCUUUUCCUCGAACCAGCCCAGUACCAUUCUUAUUUGCCUCAUCAGACUUCGUAGCUGUAAAUAAAAGAGCAAAGAAAUUGAAAGAAGUGUGUCAAAUACAGAUGAUGAAACAGUGCCGGAGCUUGAAAAUUUAUGAAAAUAGAGAAAGACCUGCGCUAGCUGCGGCGUGUGUUACCAAGGACUUGUGUAAUCUGACGGCGGCUGGAAACAUCAAUGUGUUAUACUUGAUUAAUUCCCUCAUCAAAUUACUCUCAAUGUGGGUAAAUCCAUACUUGUUGAUCCACAUUGGGACAAGUUCAGGGACCGAUGGAAUUACAAGGUUUUCCACAUUGAGCAUACGAAGAGCCUGUAAAAUUAGAUUCGCAUGAGGUCAAAUGCCAAUAUCAAACAGACUAAGCAGAAGGUUAUUCAGCACAAUGAAAUGAACAAUAUGACACAGUGCCAGCUGGGUAGUAGCUUAAGGCAUCAGCACUUACUGAUUCAAUUUGGGCCAACAGUUUCUGCAGCAUUCUUCUUCCCCUGAAUCUUUCACGGGUUCCGAUAAAUGGCAUCUCGGCAAACUUUGUCCCAUGUACUCUGUACAAAUGAAGUGAACACUCCAAGUUAAACGAAAGCAUGUAGUUGCAAAACGCAUGUAUGUAUGGUACUGGAUCAUACCAGAACACAUGAAAUGCCAGUAGCAAUUAUACCUUAUUGAUGCCACGGAGAUAAAUUCAUCAUUCCUCUCCAGUAUAGCGGUGUAAAAACCUCUAAAAUUUACCCGCCUCAGGUUAGACCUGAAAGAGAGAAUUUAGAAGAAGGAAAAGGCUAUGUGUAUGCAUUUUCUUGAAUGAACAAGAGUGACAGAAAGAUUUAACGGAAGGAUCUAAAGCGCUUACUCCCGAUUGUAGAUGACACUUUGAGUGAUGUUAAUACCAGUGUAGCGGUCAAUAACUGGCAUGAAAAUUUCUUCCAUGACCGUCCAUGCUACAGAAACUUUUGAGUUGCCUACUGUAAUCUCAUGCAAAAACUCCCCAUUCGAAUGUGGGUCCCGAUCUAGCUUCAUCUGGACAAGACUCCAAGUAUAUCCAUCAGCAAGCUCUUUUCGGACUCCCAAAUGCUUCUCUUGGAUCUCCGAGAAAACCUGUUCACAAAUUCCUUUUCGAAAUUAAAGCAUACAUGCAUGCAUUAAGGUUUUUUAAUUAAAAAAAAAAAAGAAUGCCCAUGAAUGUGUGUAAUAAAGAAUUCACAAAUACCUCUUCACAACUCUUCCCACAAAAUUUGGUUGGUGAAUCAGGACUAGACGGUUGUCUUGAAGAAUUAAUACAGUCCAGGUGAUCUGUAUCAAGAAUAUAAGUUAGAACUUAGAACUUCGGCACUAUCCAAAUAGUACUAUUUCAAAAUGUGCUUUCUAAUGAUGUACUGUCAAUUAAUUUCCACAUUGAAAUUUUAUGUGUGUUAGUGAGUAAAGAAGCAGUUCUCUUUCUUUUACAUCAGCUAGGUAGCUCAAUUACUGCCCUUAUCACAAAGAAAUUAAGCAAGUGUAAAACCUUACAUCUCCUUUGACAUUGUUUGCAUUCGUGCAAAUCACCUGGCCCGCCAGUACCACAAAAUUUGCAAAUGCAGAAAGGACACAGCCAUUCUCCUUGCGGUAUUUUCUGCAUUCACUCCAAUUUCUUAAGAUUUUGCAACUAUAUAUGCAAAAUAAUAAUAAUACCAACAAUAAAUGAGCAAAAUCCAACCUUCAUGCCCAUGCAAUCUGGAUGAAAAGUAGAGGGACAUUUCUCACAACAAAUCAAGUCACCCCCAUCAGCGCAAAUCAUACAGGCAUCAUCAUUCAAGUCAGAAGCAUCUUUCCGAGGCUCAACAAGGUUAAAUUCACAGCGUGCCAGUUCUUCCGGGCGCAGUAACCCCUUGUAAUAAAUCCAACCCAAGAGAUGACAUCCCCAAUCCACUAAGUAGAUGUGGGCAUAUGGCUCCUUAACAUGACCUUCGUUGGCAUGUUCUUCAAACCCGUACACAGUAAUCACCUUAUGACAGCAAUUACAACGCACACCGUCUCUCUUAAUGGUUCCUUCUAUAAUCUUUUCUUUAUCGCGGAUGUACCAAACUCUCAUAUCUUCGAAAAUGAUCCCCAGGUCUAUCAUCCAUGAUAGUAUUGUCCUUUUCUUGGAAAACACUCCCCUGUUGCUCUUGUUUGAUGCACCUGGCCUUCGACGCAGUAUCCUUCUUCUUCUUGUUGCAACAACACCAUUAUUCCUUCUCGAACUUCCAACCUCAGUAGCCUGGUUUGGAUUAUUAAUGCACGUGUUUAUAUUGAAGUCCUUUCGAGAGCUCCUUUGAUAACUUGUUCCAGCUACGUAGUCAGGAUCAGAAUAUCUGGAAUCAUAAUCCUGGCUUUCUGAUGAGCAGCUUGAUACUUCUAAAAUUCUCUUCUGUUUCCUCUUCCUCAUAUUGCUAAUUUGGUUACUGUAAAAAUAUAACUGAAACAUAGACAAAAGUAAAUGCCGGUGUAGAAUGCUAAUAAAUUAAUAAAAAUAUCAAAUCAUGCCUAUGAUUUUUUGUGUGUAUAUAUAUAUAUGUAACACUCAAAUCAAACUCGAAAUCAUGCAUAUAUUUCUGAUACGUUUCCAUUUUAAUUUCCUUCUUUGUUUAGAUUAGCAGUUUUUAUCUGGAAUCUAGAAGCAUAAGUACAUAACUAGUAAAAAAAGAACAGCUAGCUUCUCAUUUACAUUGAUUUAGUAACUAUUUAUGUAAUUGCAUAAUUCUCCUUUUGUGUUUGUGCUUUCUUGUGAAUAGUGGAAAUUCCAUGCUAUUUCGUAAUUGCAAGAAUGAUUAACUCAAUAGCGAUUACAAACAAAUCUUAGAUUAGUCAAAAUAAUUCCAUGCUGCUGUGAAAACAUUUUUAUGCGUAAGUGACUAGAAACACCUAUUCAGAUUUAUACUACAUUACCUUUAAAUUCAUGCAUUAGACUCACAUUACUACAAAAAUUAAUCAAAGUAAAUAAAAAUAAGAUGUUUAUUAUAACAAUAAUGUUUGGGAUCAAUAUUAUAAUAAAAAUAAGAUGUUUUUUAUAAAAAUUAAUCAACAUUUGAUUCCCAACUUGAGUGUCAAUGUUAUGUAUCAUUUAUCUAUUGGAUGAUGAAUUUCAUUGCUAGUAAAAUUACUUAAUCACCAUCUAAUGGAUGAAUACCACAUUAGUUGGGAUUCAGAGAAAUUCUAGAAUACAUCAGAGGUAUCAUGUUAGCCAUACAACAAGUAAAUAAUGUUAUGACAUGUGUGCAUUUAGUUUGAAAAACCAUCAUGCAAAUGGUGAUUAUAUUAAAUUCAACUACACAUAGCAUGCAUGCAUCAAUUGAUUGUAAUGCAUCAGAGGUAUUUUAAAAUUUCUCCAGAUUGGGACUUAUGACGUGGGACAUCUAGCAUUGCGCUCUUAUUAAAAUAAUCAUUAUGAAAGGACUCGAUAACUAGCUUAUAGAAAUGAACCAAACCGAACAGAACCGGUUUAUCCUGUUUUGGGGAAAAUCUAAAAUUUCAACUUUAAUUGUGGCUUUCAUAAAGUAAAUUAACAUUAUCAGUUCAUACAUAACACAUACUCACACACACACACACAUUCAUAUAUAUAUAUAUAUAUAUAAUAUCUGAAAUAGCGAUUUUCUAGAAAUAUUACCUAAGAUAUUUUUAAGGUGGCCACCACUUUAAAUUCUCAAAAUGCAAGCAUUUUCUUCUGCAUUUGAACUACGGAUCGUCAAGAAUGAUUUAAAAUUUGCAGAUCUAGAAAAUCUUCUCAUACACAAAGAAUCGGUAUACUAAAUUUUAAACAGUGAAAAAAGUAGUUCUUUAAUGAAAAAUAAAAAAUGAAUAAAUUAUUUGAUGGCAGUGAAGAAAAUUUUAUUUAGAUUGCGAGUGGCUAAAGGGUGGACAACGAGAAUAAGUAAGAGGGAAUCAGAAAAUGAGAGAGAGAAAGUGCAAGAAAACGAGUAGAUGAGUAAGAAAAAUGUAUAUAGAGUAGAUGUGAAAGAGAAAGAAGAAUAUAUAUAGAGUAGAUGCGAAAGAGAAAGACACGAGGCAAUAGCGUGUAAAUCGCAUGCAAGUCUAUUUGUCUUUGUGGCAUUGAAUUUGAAAUAAAUUUCAUGGAAAGUGUUGAAUUAGAUUUUUGCAUUUCUUUCCUAAAAGAAAUUGUAAAAAUAGUGGUAGAAUCACAAAUUUUUAUACAAACUGACGUGGCACAAUCAUAUUAGUUAGACAUACAACAAGUAAAUAAUGUUAUGAUAUGUGUGCAUUUAGUUUGAAAAACCAUCAUGCAAAUGGUGAUUAUAUUAAAUUCAACUACACAUAGCAUGCAUGCAUCAAUUGAUUGUAAUGCAUCAGAGGUAUUUUAAAAUUUCUCCAGAUUGGGACUUAUGACGUGGGACAUCUAGCAUUGCUCCUAUUAAAAUAAUCAUUAUGAAAGUACUCGAUAACUAGCUUAUAGAAAUGAACCAAACCGAACAGAACCGGUUUAUCCUGUUUUGGGGAAAAUCUAAAAUUUCAACUUUAAUUGUGGCUUUCAUAAAGUAAAUUAACAUUAUCAGUUCAUACAUAACACAUACUCACACACACACACACAUUCAUAUAUAUAUAUAUAUAUAUAAUAUCUGAAAUAGCGAUUUUCUAGAAAUAUUACCUAAGAUAUUUUUAAGGUGGCCACCACUUUAAAUUCUCAAAAUGCAAGCAUUUUCUUCUGCAUUUGAACUACGGAUCGUCAAGAAUGAUUUAAAAUUUGCAGAUCUAGAAAAUCUUCUCAUACACAAAGAAUCGGUAUACUAAAUUUUAAACAGUGAAAAAAGUAGUUCUUUAAUGAAAAAUAAAAAAUGAAUAAAUUAUUUGAUGGCAGUGAAGAAAAUUUUAUUUAGAUUGCGAGUGGCUAAAGGGUGGACAACGAGAAUAAGUAAGAGGGAAUCAGAAAAUGAGAGAGAGAAAGUGCAAGAAAACGAGUAGAUGAGUAAGAAAAAUGUAUAUAGAGUAGAUGUGAAAGAGAAAGAAGAAUAUAUAUAGAGUAGAUGCGAAAGAGAAAGACACGAGGCAAUAGCGUGUAAAUCGCAUGCAAGUCUAUUUGUCUUUGUGGCAUUGAAUUUGAAAUAAAUUUCAUGGAAAGUGUUGAAUUAGAUUUUUGCAUUUCUUUCCUAAAAGAAAUUGUAAAAAUAGUGGUAGAAUCACAAAUUUUUAUACAAACUGACGUGGCACAAUCAUAUUAGUUAGACAUACAACAAGUAAAUAAUGUUAUGAUAUGUGUGCAUUUAGUUUGAAAAACCAUCAUGCAAAUGGUGAUUAUAUUAAAUUCAACUACACAUAGCAUGCAUGCAUCAAUUGAUUGUAAUGCAUCAGAGGUAUUUUAAAAUUUCUCCAGAUUGGGACUUAUGACGUGGGACAUCUAGCAUUGCUCCUAUUAAAAUAAUCAUUAUGAAAGUACUCGAUAACUAGCUUAUAGAAAUGAACCAAACCGAACAGAACCGGUUUAUCCUGUUUUGGGGAAAAUCUAAAAUUUCAACUUUAAUUGUGGCUUUCAUAAAGUAAAUUAACAUUAUCAGUUCAUACAUAACACAUACUCACACACACACACACAUUCAUAUAUAUAUAUAUAUAUAUAAUAUCUGAAAUAGCGAUUUUCUAGAAAUAUUACCUAAGAUAUUUUUAAGGUGGCCACCACUUUAAAUUCUCAAAAUGCAAGCAUUUUCUUCUGCAUUUGAACUACGGAUCGUCAAGAAUGAUUUAAAAUUUGCAGAUCUAGAAAAUCUUCUCAUACACAAAGAAUCGGUAUACUAAAUUUUAAACAGUGAAAAAAGUAGUUCUUUAAUGAAAAAUAAAAAAUGAAUAAAUUAUUUGAUGGCAGUGAAGAAAAUUUUAUUUAGAUUGCGAGUGGCUAAAGGGUGGACAACGAGAAUAAGUAAGAGGGAAUCAGAAAAUGAGAGAGAGAAAGUGCAAGAAAACGAGUAGAUGAGUAAGAAAAAUGUAUAUAGAGUAGAUGUGAAAGAGAAAGAAGAAUAUAUAUAGAGUAGAUGCGAAAGAGAAAGACACGAGGCAAUAGCGUGUAAAUCGCAUGCAAGUCUAUUUGUCUUUGUGGCAUUGAAUUUGAAAUAAAUUUCAUGGAAAGUGUUGAAUUAGAUUUUUGCAUUUCUUUCCUAAAAGAAAUUGUAAAAAUAGUGGUAGAAUCACAAAUUUUUAUACAAACUGACGUGGCACAAUCAUAUUAGUUAGACAUACAACAAGUAAAUAAUGUUAUGAUAUGUGUGCAUUUAGUUUGAAAAACCAUCAUGCAAAUGGUGAUUAUAUUAAAUUCAACUACACAUAGCAUGCAUGCAUCAAUUGAUUGUAAUGCAUCAGAGGUAUUUUAAAAUUUCUCCAGAUUGGGACUUAUGACGUGGGACAUCUAGCAUUGCUCCUAUUAAAAUAAUCAUUAUGAAAGUACUCGAUAACUAGCUUAUAGAAAUGAACCAAACCGAACAGAACCGGUUUAUCCUGUUUUGGGGAAAAUCUAAAAUUUCAACUUUAAUUGUGGCUUUCAUAAAGUAAAUUAACAUUAUCAGUUCAUACAUAACACAUACUCACACACACACACACAUUCAUAUAUAUAUAUAUAUAUAUAAUAUCUGAAAUAGCGAUUUUCUAGAAAUAUUACCUAAGAUAUUUUUAAGGUGGCCACCACUUUAAAUUCUCAAAAUGCAAGCAUUUUCUUCUGCAUUUGAACUACGGAUCGUCAAGAAUGAUUUAAAAUUUGCAGAUCUAGAAAAUCUUCUCAUACACAAAGAAUCGGUAUACUAAAUUUUAAACAGUGAAAAAAGUAGUUCUUUAAUGAAAAAUAAAAAAUGAAUAAAUUAUUUGAUGGCAGUGAAGAAAAUUUUAUUUAGAUUGCGAGUGGCUAAAGGGUGGACAACGAGAAUAAGUAAGAGGGAAUCAGAAAAUGAGAGAGAGAAAGUGCAAGAAAACGAGUAGAUGAGUAAGAAAAAUGUAUAUAGAGUAGAUGUGAAAGAGAAAGAAGAAUAUAUAUAGAGUAGAUGCGAAAGAGAAAGACACGAGGCAAUAGCGUGUAAAUCGCAUGCAAGUCUAUUUGUCUUUGUGGCAUUGAAUUUGAAAUAAAUUUCAUGGAAAGUGUUGAAUUAGAUUUUUGCAUUUCUUUCCUAAAAGAAAUUGUAAAAAUAGUGGUAGAAUCACAAAUUUUUAUACAAACUGACGUGGCACAAUCAUAUUAGUUAGACAUACAACAAGUAAAUAAUGUUAUGAUAUGUGUGCAUUUAGUUUGAAAAACCAUCAUGCAAAUGGUGAUUAUAUUAAAUUCAACUACACAUAGCAUGCAUGCAUCAAUUGAUUGUAAUGCAUCAGAGGUAUUUUAAAAUUUCUCCAGAUUGGGACUUAUGACGUGGGACAUCUAGCAUUGCUCCUAUUAAAAUAAUCAUUAUGAAAGUACUCGAUAACUAGCUUAUAGAAAUGAACCAAACCGAACAGAACCGGUUUAUCCUGUUUUGGGGAAAAUCUAAAAUUUCAACUUUAAUUGUGGCUUUCAUAAAGUAAAUUAACAUUAUCAGUUCAUACAUAACACAUACUCACACACACACACACAUUCAUAUAUAUAUAUAUAUAUAUAAUAUCUGAAAUAGCGAUUUUCUAGAAAUAUUACCUAAGAUAUUUUUAAGGUGGCCACCACUUUAAAUUCUCAAAAUGCAAGCAUUUUCUUCUGCAUUUGAACUACGGAUCGUCAAGAAUGAUUUAAAAUUUGCAGAUCUAGAAAAUCUUCUCAUACACAAAGAAUCGGUAUACUAAAUUUUAAACAGUGAAAAAAGUAGUUCUUUAAUGAAAAAUAAAAAAUGAAUAAAUUAUUUGAUGGCAGUGAAGAAAAUUUUAUUUAGAUUGCGAGUGGCUAAAGGGUGGACAACGAGAAUAAGUAAGAGGGAAUCAGAAAAUGAGAGAGAGAAAGUGCAAGAAAACGAGUAGAUGAGUAAGAAAAAUGUAUAUAGAGUAGAUGUGAAAGAGAAAGAAGAAUAUAUAUAGAGUAGAUGCGAAAGAGAAAGACACGAGGCAAUAGCGUGUAAAUCGCAUGCAAGUCUAUUUGUCUUUGUGGCAUUGAAUUUGAAAUAUAUUUCAUGGAAAGUGUUGAAUUAGAUUUUUGCAUUUCUUUCCUAACAAAAAAUUGUAAAAAUAGUGAUAGAAUCACAAAUUUUUAUACAAACUGACGUGGAUCACAAAUUUUUAUACAAACUGACGUGGCACAAUCAUAUUAGUUAAAAUAAAUCAUGUGGACUGCGGCAUGUUUUGAUCUAAUCAAUAUCUAGUUAUGCCAUAUUAGUUUGUAUAAAAAUUUGUAGCUCCAUUAUUACUCAUAACUACAUAACCUUAAGAUGUACUUGAAGAGUUUUUUUUUUUGAAUUACAUGAGACUAUUACUCAGAUUACAACUAAUAUUUCAUACAAAUCUUAUAUAGCACUGCCCAUAUUUUACCAUUUCUAGAUUUUACAAAUCUUAUAUAGCACUUACUGCCUUCAAUCACAUUGAGAAAAGAAAUUAAACCCCUACAAUGCGUGUUUAUUAGUUAGUCUAUAACUCGUUUACAUCAUCUUCAUUAUUUAGCUCUAUAUUGAUUAUUUGUAUAUGAAUUGUUAAAUGAGUUAUAUUUAUAAAAGGACGUAUAUAAACAUGAUUUUAUGAAGUCAGGAUCUAGUUUUCGUAAUUAGCUCGGUUUAUUAAUUUGCAACUCUUACAUAUAAAAGGACUUAUGGGCAUUGUAAAUUUAUAAUGUUAGGUUACAGGCAUUGGCCAAGUGUUAAAAAUAAUAAUACAAUUUUAAAAAUCUAAUGCUACCAAAUCGCUAAGUACUAUUAGUUUUAUGUUUUUAAAGUUCUUAAUAAAGAUUUUCACUUUAUCUUCUUAAUUAAAAAUUAUAAGCUCUGGAAAGGAACCAAAAAAUAAAAGAAAAAAAAUUAACGUCAAUGUCCAUGCAAUUUGAUGGAAAUAAGUAAAGGGAAAUUCCUCAUAACAAAUCAAAUUUUCGUUAUUUAAGAUACUUAAUUAGUACAUACGUUUAGUAUUAUUUUCGUACGCAAUACAUGAUUUAGGAGUGUUUUAUUAUUUAUGUCCGUUCAAAAGUUUUCAAAACAAUGAUAAUAAUGCGCGAAAAAUACUAAUAUUGCAAAUCUCAUAAUGACGACUAACCAGAGUUCAAUUCUUAGUUGCAGCAAUACACUCACAAAAUUUAAGAUGUGAAAUUUUUAUUAUAAUUGAUUUAGUAAAUGAUCUGGCAUCAUAACAUCUUCUCAUUGUGUCACAUGAGUACGCAAAUAUUCAUAUCUUAAUUCUAUCGGUAUAUAAUUUUUUUUUAAUUCUCAGAAACAAAAAUUUAACUAAUAAAACACAUUCGUUUGAUUCAUGUACAUAUUAUUAAAUUUACCUAAAAAAAAUGAUGACAAAGUUACAAGUUUUUUUACAAAUUUAUCUUGUACAUACUGAUAUAGUUUAAAUUCAUUAGUUAAAUGAAAAUACAAAAUAAUAAAAAUAAAUCAAUGGACUAAGAGCUGUUUAAUCCAACCAAUUAAGUUAUACCACACAAUUUAUACUAGAGGUUUUUUACUCUACUUUUACUAAAAAGGAAAGAAAAUCUAUACUUUAUUUGGCUAGUAGUUUUCACCCAUAUAUAGAAUUCUCCUUGCAAGGAAAGAAAUCUAAUAUUUUUAUCAUCUUUAUCCUUAUUUAGUUUUCUUAUAAAAUAGUGUAAUUAUAAUAGUAGUGUUCUUAUCCAUCUACACUUUUGUAUAGUCAUCUCUACCCUUCUUUGGGUUCCUUUUUUAGUCUUAACAUUAAUUGGCUAGCCAUUUUUGCCCAUACCGAAUCCUCCUUGUAAGGAAAGAAAAUCCAAUAAUAUCAUCAUCUUUAUCCCUAUUUAGUUCUCUCAUGAAAGAGUUUAAAUGUACUAGUAUUAUUCUUAUCCCACAUACCCUUUUGCGCAGUUGUCUUUGUCCAUCUUUGUGUGUCUCUGAGUUGUCUCUUAUAUGUUUUUCUUUUUUAUGAGUUGAAUAUUUAGUUAUUUCAUUAAAGGGUUUGAACUAUAAAAUAUCAAACUUGCACAGAUAAAUUUUAUGUGUCACUCAUUUAUUGGUACGUCACAUUAAUUGGAAUACGAAUUAAGAUCCAAUUAUUAUUAUUAUUAUUAUUAUUAUUAUUAUUAUUAUUAUUAUUAUUAUUAUUAUACGGUGUUCUAUCAUAUCUUAUGCAAAUGAUUGCCAUUAAAUCAUUUCUUUAAAAUGCACAUUCAAGUUGUAAUAUUAGUAUUGUAAAUUUCUUGAAUGACUAUAAAAUCAUUUGGAUGCAAGUUAGUUUAUUUGGUAAAAUGUCUUGAGUGAAAAAUAAGAAUUGUGGAGUUCAAACGUCGCUCAUAUGGGUGAGAAAGUAGAGUAAUGAUAAACAUCCCAAAUUUUAUUUUAAAUGAUGUGUCAUUCAUUAAGUGGUUAAUAAUUUUUUUAUAAAAUCCAAGUGAAUUAAUUGAAUUAUCUCACCAACUAAUUGAUGAAUGCCACUUCAUUUGAAAUAGUUUUUUGGAAUAAAACAUUUAGGGUAUGUAGCAUUACUAAAAAAAGUAUUUAGUUAAUCUUAGACUCAAAAACAAAUAAUAAUAAUAAUAAUAAUAAUAAUAAUAAUAAUAAAUGGCUACACUUCACUAUAAAUUUGCCACCUACAAUCUCUCAAGUUGCAGUUAACAAGCAUAUUAUCUCUCUUUGAUAAACCUAUCUUCUCCCCUUACCUUUUCUUAUAGUUCUAAAGCUUUUGCCAAACAAACUGCAUCACAAUAUGCUCUUCAGAAUACUUAAAAAUCAGUGAAAGCUAUUGAAUGGAGAGACCAUUUGAAUUAUUCAAAUACUUCAUCCCGUUUCAUAUUGAUUAUGAAACAAAAGUGUGGCCUCUUCUUAGCAGUAGUAUAGAAGAGAGAUCAAAGUGUUUGAAUUACAUCGAAUUAGUGAUUUACCAGAAUGUUUCGGUUGAAGCCACGCAGAGGUAUUUCUCUAUCAUUCGUUUUCUUUCUCAUUAAGUUUGAAUUUCAAGCAAUAACAAUUAUGUUUGACAAAAUAUGUAUACAUUAUAAUAGGGAAAUAAAAAUUUAUAUUAUUUCUGCGAAGACCGAGGAUUGCGGCGGACACGAGAAGGUAUGCUGCAUAUUUAUUUUCUCUGUUCAUUGAUUAAAAAAGUGAUUUUUUUUGUCUUGGAUAAUAUCUUCUGUGUUUUUUCAAAACAUUAUCGCACAAUUAUCUUCUCUGUUUUGCCAUCAGGGCAAGAAAGCACCAUAAUUUGCAUUCAUAUAGACAACAAGAAGGGAUUUUUAUUAACAUAUUUUCAUUGUUUUGCCUUUGUCAAAUUCAUUCGUUUGCAGGUACUAUACGACUUCUAUAUUUUGGGAUUUCUAUAUUUUUGCCCUUGCCGCACCACUUCCUGAAUGGCGUAUGACGAACUUGUUCUUUCUUACAUCAUUUCCAAUCAAGCAUCGUCAUCUUCUUUAGGGGGUUCAAGGUUCAAGUCAAAAAAUGCAAGCUUUUCGUAGCCUUUUCCUCGAACCAGCCCAGUACCAUUCUUAUUUGCCUCAUCAGACUUCGUAGCUGUAAAUAAAAGAGCAAAGAAAUUGAAAGAAGUGUGUCAAACAGAUGAUGAAACAGUGCUGGAGCUUGAAAAUUUAUGAAAAUAGAGAAAGACCUGCGCUAGCUGCGGCGUGUGUCACCAAGGACUUGUGUAAUCUGACGGCGCUUGGAAACAUCAGUGUGUUAUAAAUGAUUAAUUCCGUCAUCAGAUUAUUCUCAAUGUGGGUAAAUCCAUACUUGUUCAUCCACAUUGGGACAAGUUAAGGGACCGAUGGAAUUACAAGGUUUUCCACAUUGAGGAUACGAAGAGCCUGAAAAUUAGAUUCGCAUACCCGCACCGGCGGUUGCACUGGCGGUUUGAAUUACAAGAUUUUCAACAUUAAGCAUACCAGGAGCCUGAAAGUCGAUCAGAUUUGCAUUAGAACUUGUUCCAGGCAGACAUAUAUUGAAAUGAAAAAUAUGACACAUACAGCUGAUUAUUAGUAGCUUCAGCACCAGCACUUACAGAUUCGAUUUGGGCGAAUAGUUUCGGCAUCAUUGUUCCUUUGUAGUCCCGGCUUCUGAACUUUUCACGGGUUCCGACAAGUGGAAUCUUCGCAAUCUAUUCUUGGUCCCAUGGACCCUGUAAAAUUGAAGUGAUGAAUACUCCCAAGUUAAAUGAAAACUAGCUGUUGUAAAAUAUGUAUGUACUGGAUUGAUUAUACGAGAACACACAGAAUGAAAUCACCUCGAUUCACAAAAACUAAAAUAAAUAAAAUUUCAUAAAAAUUUAAUCUAAAUAAAUCAGCUCGAUUCCACUUUGCUUCCCCAGUUUAUUGUAUUCAAUUGAAAUAUUUGUUGAAAAGCAUAUUUAGAUAAUCACUGUAGUAUUGCAUGUGUUUAUCAAUUAUAUUUUCAUGAAUAUACUUUAAAAAUAAUCUAACCAUUAAAACAUAGUUAAGCUGGCAGAUUGAAUUAACCAUAAUUUUUAUCUUUAUUUUAUCUUAUACGUUUACAUUAUUGGUUUCUUAUAUUUUAUUGUUAGUGUUUCUUGAAGCGAAAAUCAUAUUUAAAUUAUAAUAAUUUGAUACAAAUUAUUAGCUUAGCAAAAUUUGGUUUGGGGAUUAAAAGGAAAAAAUUGGGAGAUCGAAUGACAAAGUUAAUCUCUUAACCAAUAACAAUAACCGUUCAUGCAAUCCUUGAGAAAAUGUAAAAUUAAUUGCUACUUUAAUUAAUAUUUUCAUAAAAUAAAUAAUUAAUUAACAUUAGCAAUUUUUAUAUACACACAUGCUUACAUAGAAACUAAGGUGGCGUUUGUUUUUUAACUUAAUGACUUAAAGUGACUUAACUUAAUUAAUUAAGUUAAUUAGAGGUGUUUGUUUUUAUAACUUAAUGAGACUUUUUAGAUAAUUUUGACUUAAUAAAAUAAGCUACGUACAUCCGCCUUGGCCGUACAGCAGAAAUUUGAAUUAAGUCAAUUACUUACUAAUGUAAAAAAUAUCCAUGUUUUAUAAUUUAUUUUUCAUAUCUAUCCCAAAACUCACCCAUAGGUAUUUACCCCACAUAAAAAUAUCAUUGUUUUUUCUUUCUUAUAUUAUAUACGAUAAAAUUUAAAAUUUAUGGUAUUUUAUAUAUUAAAAUUCUAAAAUAAUUAUGUAUUCACUUGAAUAUAGUUUUACUUAUAAAUGUUAAAAUAUUGUGGUAUUUAAUAUAUUAUUUAUUUGACAUUCAAAUUUAAUAAGGAUACAAAUGUAAAAGUACAUAUUUUCAGCUUUUUAAGUUGAAAAAAACAAACAACUUAAUACUUAUUUUUCGAGAUUCAGACGAAAAAACAAACAAAUUAUUCAGAUUCAGACAUUCAGACCUAUUCAGAAUUCAGACUAAUUCAGGUCUAUUCAGAUUUCAGACAAAAAAACAAACGCCACCUAAGUGCGGAACCGGACUGGGGCCUGUGGAACAGCACCAUGCGUAGCAAAUAAGGCAGUGUUUACUUUCUGAAGUGGGAGUGUGGAGUGUGGAUUUCUCCCAUUCUAGUGUUUACUUACCUUAAAAAAGGGGGGAGUGGGAUUCUCACUCCGUGGGUCCCACCUAAUUUUGGAGUGGGGAGUGGGAAUCCACUCCCAUGCUGCUGUACNNNNNNNNNNNNNNNNNNNNNNNNNNNNNNNNNNNNNNNNNNNNNNNNNNNNNNNNNNNNNNNNNNNNNNNNNNNNNNNNNNNNNNNNNNNNNNNNNNNNNNNNNNNNNNNNNNNNNNNNNNNNNNNNNNNNNNNNNNNNNNNNNNNNNNNNNNNNNNNNNNNNNNNNNNNNNNNNNNNNNNNNNNNNNNNNNNNNNNNNNNNNNNNNNNNNNNNNNNNNNNNNNNNNNNNNNNNNNNNNNNNNNNNNNNNNNNNNNNNNNNNNNNNNNNNNNNNNNNNNNNNNNNNNNNNNNNNNNNNNNNNNNNNNNNNNNNNNNNNNNNNNNNNNNNNNNNNNNNNNNNNNNNNNNNNNNNNNNNNNNNNNNNNNNNNNNNNNNNNNNNNNNNNNNNNNNNNNNNNNNNNNNNNNNNNNNNNNNNNNNNNNNNNNNNNNNNNNNNNNNNNNNNNNNNNNNNNNNNNNNNNNNNNNNNNNNNNNNNNNNNNNNNNNNNNNNNNNNNNNNNNNNNNNNNNNNNNNNNNNNNNNNNNNNNNNNNNNNNNNNNNNNNNNNNNNNNNNNNNNNNNNNNNNNNNNNNNNNNNNNNNNNNNNNNNNNNNNNNNNNNNNNNNNNNNNNNNNNNNNNNNNNNNNNNNNNNNNNNNNNNNNNNNNNNNNNNNNNNNNNNNNNNNNNNNNNNNNNNNNNNNNNNNNNNNAACACCCUACUCCCACUCCCACUCCACACUCCUAAUCCAAGGAUUCCCACUCCAAUCCAAAAAGUAAACGCAGCAUAAAUGAAUAAAUAAAAUAAGGUAAAGAUCAAUCUAACGCCCUAAUUAAUCCAAUUCCAGAGCUUAGUUAUAGUUCAGAAUCCUGGACUGAAAAUUCACAACAUGUAUUAUUUCAAACAGUGACUGAAAGGAAACAGUGAUUCAUAUUACCUACGAUAUUUAAAAGGAGGCCACCACUUUAAAAUUUGAACAUGCAAGGGAUAUUAUUCGGCGUUUUUAUUCGGCGUUUCAAGUACCGAUCUCCAAGAAUCACCAUUAACCUCUAGCAAGACCUAAAAGACUUAGAAUUUUUAGAUCUUGAAAUCUUCUCAUUCUCAAGCAAUCAACAUAAAAAAUUGUAAUUAAUAUUGAAAAAAAAUGAUUGUUAUGUAAUCAAAGGUAAAAAUUAAGAAAUUAUUUGGUAGCAAUGGAGGUUCCUAAUAAGUUUUAGUGGUCAAAGAAAAUUUUGUUUAGAUUGCACAUGGGCAAGGGUGGAAAAUGAGAAUAAGUGAGUAAGAAAAUAAGAACGAGAAAGUACAAUUGGUAGACGGGUAAGAAGAAUAUACAGAGGCGGUACAUAUGAAAGCGAAAGACACGAGGCAAAUAGCGUGAAAAUCGCAAGCAAAAGAAGAAUAUUGUUUUUGGAUUUCUUCCCCCAAGAACCAUUCGUUUUCCACUACACACAACAUUUGAAAAUGUAAUUGCGUUAAAAAAAUAUAUAAUAAGAAUUUAUAAAUUUAUUUUGUACAAAUUGAUAUGAUGUACCUAUAUCGAUUAAAGUAAAUCAUGUGGAACAUAACCAAUAUAGUCAUGCCUAGUGACAUAGCUAGACUUUAAACCCAACAAAGGAAAAUAUAAUUUACAUAAAGAAUUUAAUUUUCCUCAAGCGUUAUUAGAUAAUUUUAGAAUUAAUAUACUCAUUUAAGGUGAUUUUGAUGACGAAAUUAUAAUUUUGAGCAUUUUUUUGUAUAUUAUUCAAGUUGGUAGGGAUUUAAAAUUUUUAUGAAAAAAUUAGUUCCACUACUAUUUAUGGCAUGAUAAUUCGUAAAAAAAUAAAUUUAUGUAAGAAUUUGUAAUGUAGUCGCUGCCAUAAAUAUGUAACCUCAUGAUGGACUUGAACUUGUUUGUUAGUUUAUACUCUAUUAUCUUCAUUAUAGCUAUAGGUCUAUAUUAUAUGAAUUUCAUUACUGAGUUUUAUCUAAAAACUCNNNNNNNNNNNNNNNNNNNNNNNNNNNNNNNNNNNNNNNNNNNNNNNNNNNNNNNNNNNNNNNNNNNNNNNNNNNNNNNNNNNNNNNNNNNNNNNNNNNNNNNNNNNNNNNNNNNNNNNNNNNNNNNNNNNNNNNNNNNNNNNNNNNNNNNNNNNNNNNNNNNNNNNNNNNNNNNNNNNNNNNNNNNNNNNNNNNNNNNNNNNNNNNNAAAAAAAAGCCAAUGGUAAAAAUCAUCAUCAAUUUUAUGUUUUGAACUCCUUAAUCUGUAAUGAAUUUUAAUUUUCCUUCUGUCUUGCGUAAUUAAUUUAAUUAUUACACACAUUAAGAUCAAGGUAACAUUACUCUUUGUUUUCAAUGUUCUUCACUCAAAAUUGUUCAAGACAGUAAUAGUAAUGGACAUAAAAUUACAGAUACGGCAAUUGCUUACUAAUCUGAUUUAAAUUCUUGUGUGCAGUACUACAAUUAUGAAGUGAAGAUGAUAAUUUUUUAUCAUAAUAGAUGUAGUCAACAAUGUGACAGUAUAACAAAGUAUUGUUAAUAAAUAUUAAUUUUCUUCGUUAUUUAUCAUGACAUUUCUCAAUGUGUACUAUGAGUUUAUAUCUCAAUUUUAUAAGUGAAUAAUUUUUUAGUUCUUAAAAUAGACAUUUAAUUAAUAAGACACCUUGGUUUGAUUCAUAUACGCAUAUUCUGAUGCUUACCAAAAAAAAAAAAAAAUUCUGUAUGUCUAAUUUCCUAACAUUGAUUGGCUAGUUGUUUAUGACAUUUUUGCCCAUAUAUAUAAUUCUCCUUAUAAGGAAAGAAAUCUAAUAAUAUUAUCAUCUUUAUCCUUGUUUAGUUAUGGCAUAAAAGAGUUUAAUUGUGGUAGUUAGUCCUAACAUUGACUGGCUAGUUGCUUUUAACAUUUUUGCCCAUAUAUAUAAUUAUCCUUGUAAGAAAAGAAAUCUAAUAAUGUUAUCAUCUUUAUCCUUAUUUAGUUAUGGCAUAAAAGAGUUUAAUCAUGGUAGUAUUGUUCUUAUAUGUCUACUCUUUUGCAUAGUUGUCUUGGUUAUUAUUUUAGUCAUCUAUUAAAAGAACCUAAUUGAAUACUAUUUAUUUACGUUAAGAUUCUCUGGCUAUUAAUUUUCUCUUAUUUGCUUGCUUUCUCUCUCUCUCUCUCUCUCUUUCAAAUUUCCAUAUUUAGAGAUACUUAAUUAGUACAUACGUGUAGUAUUAUUUUCGUAUGCAAUACCUGAUUUAGGAAUGUUUUGUUAUUUAUGUCCCUUCAAAAGUUUUCAAAACAAUAAUAAUAAUGCAUGAAAAAAUAAUAAUAUUGCAAAUCUCAUAAUGAUGACUAAUCAGAGUUCAAUUCUUAGUUGCAGUAUUACACUUACAAAUUUAAAAUGUAAAAUUUUUACUAUAAUUAAUGUAGUAAAUAAUGUGGCAUUAUAACAUCUUCUCAUUGUGUCACAUGAGUUCACAAAUUAUUAUAUCUUAAUUAUAUAAUUGUAUAAUUUUUUUUCUCAAAACUAGAAAUUUAACUAAUAAGACACAUGGUUUGAUUCAUGUACAUACCAUUACAUAUACCACCCCCCCCCCCCCCCCCCCNNNNNNNNNNNNNNNNNNNNNNNNNNNNNNAAAAAAAAGCCAAUGGUAAAAAUCAUCAUCAAUUUUAUGUUUUGAACUCCUUAAUCUGUAAUGAAUUUUAAUUUUCCUUCUGUCUUGCGUAAUUAAUUUAAUUAUUACACACAUUAAGAUCAAGGUAACAUUACUCUUUGUUUUCAAUGUUCUUCACUCAAAAUUGUUCAAGACAGUAAUAGUAAUGGACAUAAAAUUACAGAUACGGCAAUUGCUUACUAAUCUGAUUUAAAUUCUUGUGUGCAGUACUACAAUUAUGAAGUGAAGAUGAUAAUUUUUUAUCAUAAUAGAUGUAGUCAACAAUGUGACAGUAUAACAAAGUAUUGUUAAUAAAUAUUAAUUUUCUUCGUUAUUUAUCAUGACAUUUCUCAAUGUGUACUAUGAGUUUAUAUCUCAAUUUUAUAAGUGAAUAAUUUUUUAGUUCUUAAAAUAGACAUUUAAUUAAUAAGACACCUUGGUUUGAUUCAUAUACGCAUAUUCUGAUGCUUACCAAAAAAAAAAAAAAAUUCUGUAUGUCUAAUUUCCUAACAUUGAUUGGCUAGUUGUUUAUGACAUUUUUGCCCAUAUAUAUAAUUCUCCUUAUAAGGAAAGAAAUCUAAUAAUAUUAUCAUCUUUAUCCUUGUUUAGUUAUGGCAUAAAAGAGUUUAAUUGUGGUAGUUAGUCCUAACAUUGACUGGCUAGUUGCUUUUAACAUUUUUGCCCAUAUAUAUAAUUAUCCUUGUAAGAAAAGAAAUCUAAUAAUGUUAUCAUCUUUAUCCUUAUUUAGUUAUGGCAUAAAAGAGUUUAAUCAUGGUAGUAUUGUUCUUAUAUGUCUACUCUUUUGCAUAGUUGUCUUGGUUAUUAUUUUAGUCAUCUAUUAAAAGAACCUAAUUGAAUACUAUUUAUUUACGUUAAGAUUCUCUGGCUAUUAAUUUUCUCUUAUUUGCUUGCUUUCUCUCUCUCUCUCUCUCUCUUUCAAAUUUCCAUAUUUAGAGAUACUUAAUUAGUACAUACGUGUAGUAUUAUUUUCGUAUGCAAUACCUGAUUUAGGAAUGUUUUGUUAUUUAUGUCCCUUCAAAAGUUUUCAAAACAAUAAUAAUAAUGCAUGAAAAAAUAAUAAUAUUGCAAAUCUCAUAAUGAUGACUAAUCAGAGUUCAAUUCUUAGUUGCAGUAUUACACUUACAAAUUUAAAAUGUAAAAUUUUUACUAUAAUUAAUGUAGUAAAUAAUGUGGCAUUAUAACAUCUUCUCAUUGUGUCACAUGAGUUCACAAAUUAUUAUAUCUUAAUUAUAUAAUUGUAUAAUUUAAAAAGGUGAUGAUAGAGUUACAAACUCUUUAGCAAAUUUAUUUUGUACAAAGUGAUAUUAUUUAAAUUUAUUCGUUGAAUGAAAUACAGAAACAUAAAAAUAGAUCAUGUAAACUAACAAUUAUUUAGUCUAACUAAUUAAAUUAUACCACAUUAAUUUAUACAAAUUUUUUUUACUAUAUCUUAAAAAAGAAAGAAAGAAAAUCUAUAUUUUAAUUGGCUAGUUGUUUUCACCCAUAUAUAAAAUUCUCCUUGCAAGGAAAGAAAUCUAAUAUUUGUAUCAUCUUUAUCCUCAUUUAGUUUUCUUAUAAAACAAUAUAACUGUAAUAGUAGUGUUCUUAUCCCAUCUACCUUUUUGUAUAGUUGUCCUUAUCCUUCUUUGCGUUCUUUUUCAGUCCUAACAUUAAUUGGCUAGCCGUUUUUUCACAUACCGAAUCCUCCUUGUAAGGAAAGAAAAUCCGAUAAUAUUAGCAUUUUUGUCCCUAUUUAGUUCUCUCAUGAAAGAGUCUAAAUGUACUAAUAUUCUUAUCCCUUACACCCUUUUGCACAGUUGUCUUUAUCCAUUAUUUUAUGUCUUUUAGUUGUCUCUUAUAUAUUUUCCUUUUUAUGAGUUGAAUAUUUAGUUAUUUCAUUAAAGAGUUUGAACAAUAAAAUACUAAACCUGCUCAAAUAAAUUAUAUGUGUCACUCAUUUAUUGGUAUGCGAUGUUAAUUGCAAUACAAAUUAAGUUUUAAUUAUUAGGAUCGCUAGCCCUAUUAUUAUUAUUAUUAUUAUUAUUAUUUAUACGGUGUUCUAUCAUAUCUUAUGCUGGUGAUUGCCACUAGAUCAUUUCUUUAGAAUGCAUACUCAAGUUGUAAUACCGGUACUGUAAAUUUAUUGAAUGACAAUAAAAUCGUUUGGAUGCAAGCUAGUUUAAUUGGUAAAAUCUCUUGAGUGAAAAACAAGAAGAGUAAUGAUAUAGUCACAAACUCUUGUACAAACUCUUGUACAAACUUAUUUUUUACAAACUGAUGUGACGUUAGUUCAUUGGUUGAAUUAAAUAUCUCUUGGUCUACAUGAUUUAUUAUAUUAUUUUAUAUUUUCAUUCAAUCAAUGAAUUAAUGUCACAGCAGUUUGUACACGAUAAGUUUGUAUAAGAGUUUGUGUUGUAUCAUCACUCUACAAAAUUUAAGAUAUGUAAUACUACUGGAGAAAAUAUUUAGCUAUUCCUAGACUAAAAAAAAAAAAUAAUAAUAAUAAUAAUAAAUGGCUACACUUCACUAUAAAUUUGCCACCUGCAAUCUCUCAAGUUGCAGUUAACAAGUAUACAUAUCUCUUUAUAAACCUAUCUUCUCCCCUUUCCUUUUCUUACCGUUCCAAAGCUUUUGCCAAACAAACCAGAUGAACGAUAUGCUCUUCAAAAUACUUAAAAAUCAGUGAAAGCUAUUGAAUGGAGAGUCUAUUUGAAUUAUUCAAAUACUUCACCGCGUUUCAUAUUGAUUAUGAAACAAAAGUGUGGCCUCUUCUUAUUAGUAUAGAAGAGAGAUCAAGAUAUUUGAAUUACGUCGGAUUAGCGAUUUACCAGAAUGUUUCUGUUGAAGCUACGCAUCGGUAUUUCU
rnacentral:lncRNA from 1 species